UACGUAGGCAGCGAGCGUUGUUCGGAGUUACUGGGCGUAAAGGGUGUGUAGGCGGUUGGUUAAGUUUGGUGUGAAAUCUCCCGGCUCAACCGGGAGGGUGCGCCGAAUACUGAAUGACUUGGAGUGCGGGAGAGGAGAGUGGAAUUCCUGGUGUAGCGGUGAAAUGCGUAGAUAUCAGGAGGAACACCGGUGGUGUAGACGGCUCUCUGGACCGUAACUGACGCUGAGACACGAAAGCGUGGGUAGCAAACAGG
rnacentral:rRNA from 1 species